ensembl:snRNA U6 U6 spliceosomal RNA
GUGCUCAUUCAGCAGCACAUAUACUAAAAUUGGAACAAUACAGAGAAGAUCAGCAUGGCCCCUGAAAAGGAUGACACCAAAUUCGUGAAGUGUUCCAUAUUUUU